GGGCUCACACAAGCGGUGGAGGAUGUGGCUUAAUUCGAGGCUACGCGAAGAACCUUAUCCGAGUCUUGACAUGCUUGGGAAUACCCGUGAAAGCGGGUAGUGCCUUUCGGGGAGCCCUUGCACAGGUGCUGCAUGGCUGUCGUCAGCUCGUGUCGUGAGAUGUCGGGUUAAGUCCCUUAACGAGCGAAACCCUUGUCGCCAGUUGCCAGCGGGUAAUGCCGGGGACUCUGGCGAGACUGCCGGUGUUAAACCGGAGGAAGGUGGGGAUGACGUCAAGUCCUCAUGGCCUUUAUGAUUCGGGCUGCACACGUCCUACAAUGCGGCGUACAAAGGGACGCGAACUCGCGAGAGCAAGCAAAUCCCAAAAAACGUCGCCCAGUUCGGAUUGCAGGCUGCAACUCGCCUGCAUGAAGCCGGAAUCGCUAGUAA
rnacentral:rRNA from 1 species